rnacentral:lncRNA from 10 species
GCUUCUUUGAUAAUUGAGGGAACCUCAUGUUGAGAUCUCACACUUGUCAUCAUUUGAUAAAAAGCUAGGUUUAACUGGCCACUGACACAGAUGAUUUGGGGGGAAAUUAUAUAUUUUUGGGAGGGGGCGCUGCUGAAAUCCACAGGCUUCAUACAAUUCCAAACAAAGCCCCACAUAUCACUUCAAUUACCACCAAACAUUUCCAGUUCCCCUCCCCCAACAUAAACUAACACAAGCAAACACUUCGAAGUAGGGGUUCUAACUUAACUUUCUCCCUUGUCCGGAAGACAGCCAACAAAGGGUGGUAAGGCACCAUUUCUCCCAUCACCAUUUAGCUAAGAAAGCAAGGUCCAGGGCUGGGAGCACUCUUCUCUGCCCCACCCCCAGCCAAGUAGGUAAGGGAGAGAGGGGAGGAGGAGGUGUGGUUUGGUUAAACUAAUAAAAUGUUACAACCCUGUUAAAUACAAUUAAAAGGAUAGAUCUCUCAAAGAUAAUUAAAUGCACUUUAUUAUUAUGAUUAUUAGCUUUUAAUUUACACUGUUAAGAAAUGGAAGAUGGCGAAAACUGAGUUAUGUGGCAUACUUGUAUUCAAACUAAUCCUUUGGAAUUAAAAUUCUAAAAUAUUCCAAAUAGUUGAGGGAAAUAAUAUGUGUUGGAAACUGGAGUUCUCACACCAGCAAAGAUACUUUUAGACAUCACUUCUCAGGAAGUUAACUUAAGAGAAGUCUUGACAGGCCAGGCACUGUGGCUCACUCCUGUAAUCCCAGCACUUUAGGAGGCCGAGGCAGGCAGAUAACGAGGUCAGGAGUUCGAGACCAGCCUGGCCAAUAUGGUGAAACCCUGUGUCUACUAAAAAUACAAAAAUUAGCAAGGAGUGGUGGCGUGCGCCUGUAGUCCCAGCUACUUGGGAGGCUGAGGCAGGAGAAACGCUGCAGUGGAGGUUGCAGUGAGCCAAGAUCGCACCACUGCACUCCAGCCUGGGCGACAGAGCAAGACUCCGUCUCAAAAAAAGAAAAGUCUUGACUUUAUUUGUAGGGGCUCAGGGGAAGAUAAGAAACAUCUGCUUUAAACAUCCUAUCAAUCUUGUGAUAUAGAAUGUAAUGUAAACACUCAACCCACCCCCACAGCCACAAAGGGCCUAUCCAGAGACUUCUUCUAAAGCAAAGAUACCACCUUUUUUUUUUUUUUCAUUUUUUUCUGGACAAAUUUUAAAUAAACCAGUCUUUUUCUCAAAGGAAAACUAAAAAGCCCACCAGCCCAUCAGUCCCCUCCCUCCAACCCACCCGUCUUUAUCACUUUUUGAAAAAAAUAAGCCCCAAACAACAACAAAAACCCACACAAACCAACCCAGAAACUGCUAACCUGAACGCCAGAGAUUUUUGGCUGCGGGAGUGAAUAGACUGCAGGGAAAGAAGGGAAGAGAUGCUAGGAGGUCUCAAACUCCCCAGAUUUGCAAACAAGUGCUCAAAGGCGAAUGCUUCCCCUAGACAUGAAGGGAGGCAGGAUCAGUACUCCUGGUGGGGUGUAUGUUGGUGGGGGCUGUUUCAAAACACACUUCAAAAAGCAUUUUUGGGCCACUGGAAGCACUUGGUGCAGCGAAUUGAAAAGAAGAGAAGAGGCUCACAAAUUUGGCUUUUAUAUUAGUUGAAUGGAACAAACUCCUAACGACUCAAAGCCAACAAAAACAGCGCUCAGGCUGGGUGCCUCUCCCAUCAGGCCCAGCCCUGCCAUAUCACCAAAAAACUCCAAAAGUGGGGCGGGUUUUGAAGGGCACUUAAGAAAGAGAACCCUCCCCCCAACUACACUCCCCAACACACACACACCUCAUUCUUCAGUCCUGGCGCCCACACCCCUGUUUUUUUUUCUCCUUUUUUCUUUUAAAUAGAAAAUAUAUAUAAUUAAAUUUACAAAGACUAUUUACAGUUUUAAUUACAAACCUUGUGGGGGUGUUGGGCAGAGAGUUCUCUUUUAAAAAGCAACCUAAAAGUGAAAUGGUUUCGAUCGUUUUUUAUUUAAAAAAAUAAAAUACGGAGUCUGUAGGGGCCCCACCCCGG